AACGAACGCUGGCGGCAGGCCUAACACAUGCAAGUCGAACGUGAAGCCACCUUCGGGUGGUGGAAAGUGGCAGACGGGUGAGUAACGCGUGGGAACGUGCCUUUCGGUUCGGGAUAACCCAGGGAAACUUGGGCUAAUACCGGAUACGCCCUUCGGGGGAAAGAUUCAUUGCCGAAAGAUCGGCCCGCGUCGGAUUAGCUAGUUGGUGGGGUAAAAGCCUACCAAGGCGACGAUCCGUAGCUGGUCUGAGAGGAUGACCAGCCACACUGGGACUGAGACACGGCCCAGACUCCUACGGGAGGCAGCAGUGGGGAAUAUUGGACAAUGGGCGCAAGCUUGAUCCAGCCAUGCCGCGUGGGUGAAGAAGGCCCUAGGGUUGUAAACCCCUUUCAGCGGGGAAGAUAAUGACGGUACCCGCAGAAGAAGCCCCGGCUAACUCCGUGCCAGCCGCCGCGGUAAUAC
rnacentral:rRNA from 1 species